rnacentral:misc_RNA from 1 species
GAUGAAGAACGUAGUGAAAUGCGAUACGUAAUGUGAAUUGCAGAAUUCAGUGAAUCAUCGAGUCUUUGAACGCACAUUGCGCCCCCUGGUAUUCCGGGGGGCAUGCCUGUCCGAGCGUCAUUGCUGCCCUCAAGCACGGCUUGUGUGUUGGGCCUCCGUCCUCCUCCCGGGGGACGGGCCCGAAAGGCAGCGGCGGCACCGCGUCCGGUCCUCGAGCGUAUGGGGCUUCGUCACCCGCUCUUGUAGGCCCGGCCGGCGCUUGCCGACACAUCAAUCUUUUUUCCAGGUUGACCUCGGAUCAGGUAGGGAUACCCGCUGAACUUAAGCAUAUCGAUAAGCGGAGGA